UGCUUAACGAUUGUCAUCUUCUCUUUUGAUCUUUUCCAGGUGAGCUAUGUCUAAUCAGUUUGCGUCUCUGUUUGUUGUCCUUCUGCUGGAGUAGCGUCUUUAUCCAAACCAUCGCCCCUUGCCUAUCUGAGAAUAUGGAAGCCCCCCUUGCGGUGCUAACACUGUAGCCUUCAGCUUUUCCAGAAAAUUAACUCCUGAAGAAGCUGUUAGAGCUACCUUAUCACCGCUUCGAGAUGAGGUGACCAGAAACGUUGACGCCACAGCUUUGUCAGCUGAAGAUCCUGCGUCAGAAAGGAGGAGGAAAUUAGAGUCCCUUCAGGUGCAGGAAGCACUGAUCAAGGACGAGGAAAAGCAAGAGGAGGAGGAGGAAGAACACGUAACAAGAAACCAUUUUGGUAAUAUUGGUUUGAUGAAAAGUUAGGUUGGGGCUGCUGUCACUCUACUCAUAGUUGAAACAUAACAAAUGAAUACCUAACUCUGGUUUCUUUCAAAAGUCAGUGUCAGGAGAGUGGAGUUUUUGCAGCAUGCAGAUAAGGAAAUAGGGUCUUGUCCUGCAUCAACAUAGAUGGGACAAUUCUGCUGCAAGAGGUUGUAAGAAAGGGAAGUCGGUCGGAAGAUGCAAGACACUGAACUUUUCUGGAUUGUCUCACUGGUGUGAAUCCAGUUUCCAUGUAAUGUGAAGUCGAAUGUGGUCUUUCAGUACAAAGAGGACUUACCAAUAUGCAUCUCAACCGUUAGAGACGAUGGAUUUCACAUGGAGCCCAAUACGGUCUUUCCCAGAAGUUUGUGCGUCUUGGACACACAUGUGCAUUCAAGAUGAAGAACAAAAACCAAAGUUCAGCUGGACUUGUCCGACUUGAUUUGGGUCAAUAUUCGUUCUUUCAGAUCAUUCAAACUUCGUGCUCUGUAGUGUUCAUUUCCACUUGGGCAACAGCUUCUGUAUCUGAGCAGUUCGUGACGUUUAUAAGAGCAACUCUUCUUGUUUGCGCACCUGAUAUUAUAUGAUCGACCUAUCUAUCUCAAAGGCUAAUCUAUUUCAUAUUUCAUUGUCA